AUCAAAACAACCCAAAAUUAAGAAUGCCCGGGCAUCAAAACAAAGUUUAGCUGCCGUUCUUAAUUUUGGGCUGCUAUCAACACCCCAAAAUCAAAGUUCACAGUUUGAACUGAAGCCCCCAAAAACUUAUCGUUCAGAAUUUGUUUCGUUUCUUGCCGCCGCGCUGUUUGUUUUUGUAUAAAUUUUUUUCCAUUGAAAAAGGAGUAUGUAGUAAGCCAACAUUAAUUGUUAAAAUUUGGGAAGAAUUGUAGGAAAUUGGAGGAACGGACCAACAAAUUGAACGGGGAUAUCACCCAAAUACAGAUAGAGCUCGAAAAAUUUCACCAUGGGAAUUAUAAUAACACAGUUAAACACAAAGUG